GGAGCGGUAGAUCUAUCUGGGUGUAGCGAGCCCAGCCCCCGGCCAAACUAGAAACGGACCGUGGGGUGACUUUGUCCACAUACUUUGCCGUGGCGAAAUCUGCUAGGUUUGAGUCUCCCUAUUUGCACUUCACAUAUGUCAGUGGCCUUGCAAACCAUUGGUUGCAUUUCUAAAACAAGGCACGGUUGGAAUAGGAGGACCAUGAAGAGUCGAGUACUUAGUGGGCGUUCAGUUUCUAGAAAGACUUAG
rnacentral:lncRNA from 1 species